rnacentral:rRNA from 1 species
AGAGUUUGAUCCUGGCUCAGGACGAACGCUGGCGGCGUGCCUAAUACAUGCAAGUAGAACGCUGAAGAGAGGAGCUUGCUCUUCUUGGAUGAGUUGCGAACGGGUGAGUAACGCGUAGGUAACCUGCCUUGUAGCGGGGGAUAACUAUUGGAAACGAUAGCUAAUACCGCAUAACAAUGGAUGACACAUGUCAUUUAUUUGAAAGGGGCAAUUGCUCCACUACAAGAUGGACCUGCGUUGUAUUAGCUAGUAGGUGAGGUAACGGCUCACCUAGGCGACGAUACAUAGCCGACCUGAGAGGGUGAUCGGCCACACUGGGACUGAGACACGGCCCAGACUCCUACGGGAGGCAGCAGUAGGGAAUCUUCGGCAAUGGGGGCAACCCUGACCGAGCAACGCCGCGUGAGUGAAGAAGGUUUUCGGAUCGUAAAGCUCUGUUGUAAGUCAAGAACGAGUGUGAGAGUGGAAAGUUCACACUGUGACGGUAGCUUACCAGAAAGGGACGGCUAACUACGUGCCAGCAGCCGCGGUAAUACGUAGGUCCCGAGCGUUGUCCGGAUUUAUUGGGCGUAAAGCGAGCGCAGGCGGUUUGAUAAGUCUGAAGUUAAAGGCUGUGGCUCAACCAUAGUUCGCUUUGGAAACUGUCAAACUUGAGUGCAGAAGGGGAGAGUGGAAUUCCAUGUGUAGCGGUGAAAUGCGUAGAUAUAUGGAGGAACACCGGUGGCGAAAGCGGCUCUCUGGUCUGUAACUGACGCUGAGGCUCGAAAGCGUGGGGAGCGAACAGGAUUAGAUACCCUGGUAGUCCACGCCGUAAACGAUGAGUGCUAGGUGUUGGAUCCUUUCCGGGAUUCAGUGCCGCAGCUAACGCAUUAAGCACUCCGCCUGGGGAGUACGACCGCAAGGUUGAAACUCAAAGGAAUUGACGGGGGCCCGCACAAGCGGUGGAGCAUGUGGUUUAAUUCGAAGCAACGCGAAGAACCUUACCAGGUCUUGACAUCCCGAUGCUAUUUCUAGAGAUAGAAAGUUACUUCGGUACAUCGGUGACAGGUGGUGCAUGGUUGUCGUCAGCUCGUGUCGUGAGAUGUUGGGUUAAGUCCCGCAACGAGCGCAACCCCUAUUGUUAGUUGCCAUCAUUCAGUUGGGCACUCUAGCGAGACUGCCGGUAAUAAACCGGAGGAAGGUGGGGAUGACGUCAAAUCAUCAUGCCCCUUAUGACCUGGGCUACACACGUGCUACAAUGGUUGGUACAACGAGUUGCGAGUCGGUGACGGCAAGCUAAUCUCUUAAAGCCAAUCUCAGUUCGGAUUGUAGGCUGCAACUCGCCUACAUGAAGUCGGAAUCGCUAGUAAUCGCGGAUCAGCACGCCGCGGUGAAUACGUUCCCGGGCCUUGUACACACCGCCCGUCA